ACGGAGAAAAAGAUGUGAUAAAGAAUCAUGAGAGGCCUGGCGAAAGAGAACAUGAGGAGCGUGACCCAAGACAACAACCACGUCCGCGUAAACAAGAGGAGCAAGAAAGAGAGCAUAGGAGAGAAGAGGAGCAUGAUCGUGACCCUUCACGUGGUAGGAGGGAGAGCGAAGAACGCCAAGAAGAAGAGCGUGAACGAAGGAGAGAACCUUGUAGGGAGAGAGAGCAAGAACAACAACCUCAACAUGGAAGGAGAGAGGAGGAAGAAGAAGAGGAAGAGUGGCAACCUAGGAGACUACGACCUCAAAGUAGAAAGGAAGAGAGAGAGCAAGAACAAGGCUCUAGCUCAAGCUCACGUAAGCAAAGUGGUUAUGAGAGGAGACAAUAUCAUGAGAGGAGGGAGCAGAGGGAUGAGAAGGAGAAAGAGCAAGAUUCUCGCUCAGACUCACGCAGACAAAGGAAUCCUUAUCACUUUAGCUCUGAAAGAUUCCAGACUCGUUACAGAAAUAGGAAUGGCCAAAUUCGUGUGCUCGAGAGGUUUGACCAAAGAACCAAUAGACUUGAGAAUCUCCAAAACUACCGUAUUGUGGAGUUCCAAUCAAACCCUAAUACUCUCAUUCUCCCUAAACACUCUGAUGCUGACUACAUCCUCGUUGUACUCAAUGGUAACUAUUUGCAAGGUUUUAAAUAGAGGUCGCUAACCUAAAUUUAAAACCUUAGUUACUACUAGUAGUAAUCAUUUCCACCAAUUAAUUAAUGAGAAUGAAUGAUUUAUUGCAUUCAUUAUUUUGGGAUUGCAGGUAGAGCCACAAUCACAAUAGUGAACCCUGAUAAAAGACAAGCAUAUAACCUUGAGUAUGGAGAUGCUCUCAGACUCCCAGCUGGAACAACUUCUUAUAUCCUUAACCCAGAUGACAACCAGAACCUUAGAGUAGUCAAGCUCGCAAUACCUAUCAACAACCCUAGCAAUUUUUAUGUAAUGUUCUUUCUGAUAUCCUAUCAUAUUAUCUUUUAUUAUUAUAUCAUCUCACUUUCUAUGGCACCCAUUUCAUAUUUUACACCAUUAAAUUUUAAUUUCUUCCUCCUUUCUCUCUAUCUUUGUAUAUGUACAGGAUUUCUAUCCAUCAAGUACUAAAGACCAACAAUCUUACUUCAGCGGCUUCAGCAAGAACACUUUAGAGGCCACCUUCAAUGUAUCAUAUCUUAUCUAUAUUGGUUGCUCAGUUACUUAUUGAGUAUAUAUAAUAAUGAUUACAUGUUUGUUUGUUAUGAUUUCAAAUAUAGACCCGUUAUGAAGAGAUACAAAGGAUUCUGUUAGGAAAUGAGGACGAGCAGGAAGAUGAGGAACAAAGGCGUGGACAAGAGCAGAGCUACCAAGAUGAAGGGGUGAUAGUGAGAGUAUCAAAGGAACAGAUCCAAGAAUUGAGAAAACAUGCUCAAUCUUCAUCA
rnacentral:lncRNA from 1 species